AUUGAACGCUGGCGGCAGGCCUAACACAUGCAAGUCGAACGAGUGGCGGACGGGUGAGUAAUGUCUGGGAAACUGCCUGAUGGAGGGGGAUAACUACUGGAAACGGUAGCUAAUACCGCAUACCAUCGGAUGUGCCCCGAUGGGAUUAGCUAGUAGGUGGGGGAAAGGCUAACCUAGGCAACGAUCCCUAGCUGGUCUGAGAGGAUGACCAGCCAAACUGGAACUGAGACACGGUCCAGACGCCGACGGGAGGCAGCAGUGGGGAAUAUUGCACAAUGGGCGAAAGCCUGAUGCAGCAAUGCCGCGUGGAUGAAGAAGGCCUUCGGGUUGUAAAGUACUUUCAGCGGGGAGGCGUUACCCGCAGAAGAAGCACCGGCUAACUCCGUGCCAGCAGCCGCGGUAAUAC
rnacentral:rRNA from 1 species